rnacentral:misc_RNA from 1 species
CAUUUUUUUUUAAUUUUUUUGUUUGUCUAAACUUCAAAUUUUAGAGCAAUUUUUCUUAAUUUGCAUCACGUGUUGUCAUGUGAUGAAUAUAUAUAUAUAUUUUCAUACACUGUCUUCUUUUUCUCAACAUUAAAAUAGCUUAGCCUUAACUCUUUCAAUCCAAUAAUCGAAGACCAACGGCGGCGAAAGGGAGGAUCGAUGAAGCAAAGGAGCAACGACAAUGCUAAUCGAAACGUGAGGGGAGAGAUACUUAGAGAAUCGAAGCAGCGGGUUGAUUCAUUUAUUUGUUUUUUCUGCUUUUUGGUCUUCUUCAUUUUUGGAAUCAAUUUACCAACGCAGCCAUAUUGGGAUUUCAUUCAAUUUACCUACACUUUAAGAGAUUUAGAUUUGUGGCAUUUGAUUAUACUGGAUAUUUUGUGACGUGCUGAGACGGAAUGUGCA